rnacentral:lncRNA from 1 species
AAAUCCCAACCCAUGGACUGCAUAUCCAACUGCAUAAGCUACUGGUCAAGGUUGUGUGAGCACUAGGCACCUAUGAUUGACAUGCUCGUUGAUGUUGCAAAUAAUACAGUAAACCAUGUUUGUGCAUCUUGCUGCCACAUAUUCCUUCUUUGUGCAUCUAGAAUAUUUGAUCCUUGUUUUUGAGUCUUCUCCUUUAUGAUCUUCCUCAACCUCAGCUUCUGUCAUCCUUACAUCCGUUUCUAUUUUUU